UACGUAGGGUGCAAGCGUUAAUCGGAAUUACUGGGCGUAAAACGUGCGCAGGCGGUUAUGUAAGACAGAUGUGAAAUGCCCGGGCUUAACCUGGGAACUGCAUUUGUGACUGCAUGGCUAGAGUUUGGCAGAGGGGGGUAGAAUUCCACGUGUAGCAGUGAAAUGCGUAGAUAUGUGGAGGAACACCGAUGGCGAAGGCAGCCCCCUGGGUCAAGACUGACGCUCAUGCACGAAAGCGUGGGGAGCAAACAGG
rnacentral:rRNA from 1 species